UUCUGUUCAUCAGUACCAGAACUAGAAGAAUUAAAUAUAUUUCCAGUCAUGUGACUAAGUUGAGCCAUUGGCUUCUCCAAUAGGCCAUGAUCUGAAAAUUUAUUUCCCUUCCCAGGCAAAUGUUCAACAGCUGCCAGAGUGGAAUCACUCUGGAGUCUCUCAAUUGGUACGUUUGAAACAUUUGCAGCCAAAUCCUGGG
rnacentral:lncRNA from 1 species